AGUUCUUUUCCACUGGAAAUCAGAGACCUGGUCAGGCAGGAACUGGACUUUCCUUCAGAGGCCAAUAGUACAUGGAGGAGGGGUGAAGGAUCAGAAGUGGGAGCCUCCUGGAUGUCCCCAGCACAUGGCAGAAGACCAAGGGCCUGUCUUCCUUCCCCAGAAACACUUCAGUGUGGAGCAGAGCAGGGCAGGUUGACUAGGGGACACAGAGCAAGCUUACAGUUUUUUUCAAAACCAGUCUUUGAUUCACACUCAGACCAGAAGACUAUUCUGGGUCUCUUCGCACAUAAAAAGGAAUUUUGGGAGCAGCUGGGUUGGGUGCCUAGGACAUCCCCACAGCAGAGAGAGUAGGCCUGUUGGCCCUACUUCCCCUGCCCCUCCUUGGAAUAUUCCCAGGAUCCAGUCCCAGGGUCACAGAGUGUGUUUGAUAGGCUGUGCUGGGGCUGGGCAGUGGGAUGUGGAAAACAGACAAAACUAGGUGCCCUUGUAAUAGAUGUGGGAUGGGAGAGGGCGAGCCGCUCCCCCUCGAGCAGUCUGGGAGGUGGUGCUGAGGUUCUGAGGCAGUCUGGCAAUAUUUGGUGUUCUAAGCUAAAGAGGAGGUGGGCCAGGCCCUCAGCCCCAGGCUGUCAUACCCAGGGACAAGAGAAGCAGGCACAAGUUGUAGAGGGUUACCUGGGCCGGGGGGACCUGGUACCAACAUGCCUUCCUUGGACAGAGGGGAAGGGACAAGGUUGAAAUCAAGGUGGAGGUUUUCUGGACUGAGCCUCCCCCCAUGUUUGGCUGGGGGCGGUGUAGUGACCCAGGAGCCACUGCCAAACCCACUGUGGCUUCCAAGCAUGGUGGCAUGAAGAGAUGCUGAGAUUGGAGACCCCAGGGGGUUUUGGAGUGGUUCUCACAGGCUUGGAUCCCCCUCACCCCAAGCAUACUGGGGAAUCUUUUGACAGACAAAGAGCAUUGCUCCUAUAGACGGAAGUUUCCAGAAGGUUUAGGCCACCAUUGUUCAUUCUUUGCUUCAUCCUCAAGCAGUGACUCCAGGUGGUAUGGUCCCUGUUCCAGGGUCCAGAAACCAGCUGGAUGUAAGGCCACUGGGCUGUGCUUGUGCUGGGGUGACCUGAGGCCUGCCCUGGCAACCCUACCCUGACCUGCUGUCAGGAGCCUUAUGGGGAGCCUUAUGGGGAGGGUGGAGGGGCGGAGCGUGUCCUGGGUCUGAAGUGUCUUGCUUUGCCACCCUGGUGGUGGUCGAGCCUCAGCCCUGUGGUGUCUCUGGAGCAGAUGGAACUGGCCUAAUCCUCCUUGGGUCCUUCCACGGUGAGAAAUGUGUCCACAAUGUCAGCCUGUCGCUCUGGGUCGC
rnacentral:lncRNA from 1 species